GACGAACGCUGGCGGCGUGCCUAAUACAUGCAAGUUGAGCGCUGAAGGUUGGUACUUGUACCAACUGGAUGAGCAGCGAACGGGUGAGUAACGCGUGGGGAAUCUGCCUUUGAGCGGGGGACAACAUUUGGAAACGAAUGCUAAUACCGCAUAAAAACUUUAAACACAAGUUUUAAGUUUGAAAGAUGCAAUUGCAUCACUCAAAGAUGAUCCCGCGUUGUAUUAGCUAGUUGGUGAGGUAAAGGCUCACCGAGGCGAUGAUACAUAGCCGACCUGAGAGGGUGAUCGGCCACAUUGGGACUGAGACACGGCCCAAACUCCUACGGGAGGCAGCAGUAGGGAAUCUUCGGCAAUGGACGAAAGUCUGACCGAGCAACGCCGCGUGAGUGAAGAAGGUUUUCGGAUCGUAAAACUCUGUUGGUAGAGAAGAACGUUGGUGAGAGUGGAAAGCUCAUCAAGUGACGGUAACUACCCAGAAAGGGACGGCUAACUACGUG
rnacentral:rRNA from 1 species